AUUUAAGGUUUAAUGGAGUCAAUGCAACUGGUCGGGCUAUAUGCUAAAUAUAAGCCUUAAGGAUUUCUAAUCCCAGAUUGCCCAAUAUAAUGAAUGGCCAAGGAUAUUGAGACCCUCAGACAGCUAUGGCAAUGAUUACCUUCAUUUUUGUGGGAAAAUCCAGGAGUCUCAGCCACGUGGAAAUCAUUGAGAACUAAAGAGAAAAACAACCACUUUUUUAAGCUUAAACACUUCUGUUUUUUCUGUUAUAGAUAAUAAAGUUGAUAAAUUGCUCUAUCCUACUAAAAGGUUUGCUGCAGACACCCACAGCACCAAUGGCACCCAAAGAGAGGUCCCGCUGACUGGAUGAGGAGUGGCACACCACUCACAAGCAAAAAGCCAUAUGGCAGCUUCUGCGCUUCAGUAGGAGAUGCUUGGAAUGAAGAAGAAGAAAUACAUGCCGUAUAAUCACCAGCACAAGUACUUCUUCUUCAUUGGGCCUCCAGCACUGAUUCCCGUCUAUUCCCAAUGGUAUAUUUUCUACUUUGCAAUACGGCACAAGAAGUGGGCGGACCUGGCCUGGAUGAUGUGAGGUUUGGUCUGUGUUACAUCCCGUUCCUGGGAGUGAGCGGCACCAUCGCUCUGUUCAUGGUGGUUAGAUUUAUUGAGAGCAACUUGUCUGUGUU